GGACUCGUAGUGUAAUGGUUAGCACGUUCGCCUCAUAAGCGAGAUGAUGCAGGUUCGAGUCCUGCCGAGUCCACCA
rnacentral:tRNA from 1 species